rnacentral:sRNA from 2 species
AAAAUAGAGGCGCUGAAUUCCCUUAAAUCUUAGGGAAGCGGGGGACCCGUAUUUUGGGGUGAAUCCCGGGAAAUUUGGUUCCCGGGUAGGGCCGCCCCUGGGCCCGAACCCGUCAGCUAACCCCGUAAGCGCAAGGUAGGGGAUUG